CCCCACCUAAAGAGCACAAACUGUGUGCAAUCCCUGAGAACCGACAGAGCUUGGAUUAAUACACUCUACAUAAAGGAUCAGGACUGCCCGAAGCUCAGCUCCUUUCUAUCCGCUCUCUCUGGGAAUUCCCCUUUCCCUCCUCCGCUCCAAAUGAUACACAAAUGCUGUGAACUGCUGACUCCCUUUCUUAAUCUAAGUCUCCACUGCAUGUGCAGUUGGCUCUUAUGCACUGUUCUUACUGAUAGCAGCUGGUUGGCAGGUCACAAUCUGAAAAUUGUCAUAAAUGAGAUGUAAAGUAAAUGUUCAAGCAACAUACUAUACAUGGUAGUCUGUCUAGGGCUGUCUGGUCAACUUUUAGCCUGAAAUUAUCCCUAGAUGCAGUCAGUAAAUAACCACUUAAUCUUUGGUUUGCUCCUUACACAAAGCUACUGCAUGAAUUCAGAUUAAAUCUAUGAUUAUUUAAACAUUUCAAGCAAAGUUUAUGCAAUAAAUCUUAUUGCGUUUUGACAUUCUGAUUCUACUUGUGUUUUCCCUCCCUGGCAAAAGUCAUAUGAUAUGAACCCAGUGGUACAAUUCCCCAUUGUCUGCACACUUAAAGUAUAAGCUUAUAGGUCUAAUCCAAUAGGCCUUAUUACUGUUAUAUUUCGGUGUCAAUUAUCUCCAGAAUGAAGACAACAUAUAAACUAGGCCUACAUAUCAUAGAACAAAAGUCUUUAGGAUAUGUAUGCAUGAAAUUACAGCCGUGAAUAAUAAGGAAUAAUAUGGCUUUUCUGGCCAUAGACACCAUUCAGGAUGCUGCAUUGCAGUGGAGGACAGAAAGAGGCAGAGGCAAAGAGAGGGAAUGUAGGCAUAACUCCUACUCUUAUAGUCUAAAUAAGGAAGCUUAGCUUAAUAUAAUUUUCUUUUCAUAAAAAAAUAAAAAAAUUAACAAUACUAAAUAAAAACAAAUUAAAUAUGACUUUAAUACCAAAAGCCAUAGACGCUAGGCAUCAUUAACCAGGAAACCAUAUUAUUGAUUAAUCUGAAAAAAACAACAAAAAUACAACAACAGUACUGUCAAGGUUAUACAGGGUUAAAGUGUGCAAGAGUUGGUUUGUGUGGGUGUGUUGGAGAAACACAGAGAAAGUGAGACACAGUCAAGAAGGAUAUUUCAAACUCUCUUUUAAUUUCUUGUAUAUUAUUUCUCAAAACUGAGAGAUGUGAAAUUAUGUAUUCUAAAAACCACCCUGCAUUUAUUUAGCACACAAGUGCCAAACUGAAAGAUCUUUACUGGAAAUUUAAACAUAAUUAUAACGUAUUUUUAAAAAGAAUUAUCUUAUGGAAACCUUUCGCACCAAAUUCAAACAAACUCUCAUUUGGUACCUUAAUUUGCCAUAAUUUGGCUAACAGGUACCUACUGCCUUUUCAAAAUUACAGUGCUAGAAACGGUCAACAACAGUAAUACUGACAAUAAUAUUGAGGUUAUGUUCACACUCUUCCUGUAGCAUUUGAAAGAAAGUCAAAUAACCAAACCAUAACCACAAUCCUCAGAGAGAAUCUUAUUUUCAAAACAUUUUAGUGCUAGAAGACCAUCAGCAAUUUUUUUAGCACUAGUAAGUAAUCAAAACUGUGGGCUCACUACUUGUAUGAUUAAGCCAUUCAUCUAAUGCUAUAAAACUCAUUUUCAGCCUCUUUUUACAUUAACAAAAGUAACUAGCAAUUUACUCGGUCACAACACAGACAGCCUGAUUAUCUAGAGCUUAUGAACAUGGCUUCUCCAUUGGGAAAUUUGUUUCCCAUUACAGGGACCAACCCACCAAAGAACAACUUGUUCUAUAUUGGCAAAGAACAGUUCCAAAGAUUGUUAUUUAAAAAUUAAUGUAAUGUAACUCUUCUUGAAUGCUUGUUAAUGACUAUUUCACAUGUCUAACAGGAAAACUUUCUAAUACAUUUCAUUUUCAGUUUUACACAUUUUAAAACAUAAAACAAGCUUGUCUUUCCGUUUUGUGGAAAAUGACUUAUCCAGAUGUGCAGCAGACUGGCUGUCUCUCUCUCUCUCUCCUCCCUCUAAUAAACGGUACACACAGGCCAUGUGUGUGUGAAUGAGACUGUUCCACGCUC
rnacentral:lncRNA from 1 species